CUCGUCGUGGUGUACGACGACUCGGCCUACGGGGCCGAGGUGCACCGGUUCGAGCCGAUCGGCCUGGC
rnacentral:tRNA from 1 species